rnacentral:rRNA from 1 species
GACGAACGCUGGCGGCGUGCUUAACACAUGCAAGUCGAACGGAAAGGCCCUGCUCUUGUGGCGUGCUCGAGUGGCGAACGGGUGAGUAACACGUGAGUAACCUGCCCUUGUCUUUGGGAUAACUUCAGGAAACUGGGGCUAAUAUCGCAUAUGAGCUCCUGCUGCACGGUGGUGGAGGGUAAGUUGCGGCGUUUGGGGAUGGACGCGCGGUCUAUCAGCUUAUUGGUUGGGUAGUGGCGUAACAAGGCAUCAAGGGGUAGCCGGACUGGCAGGGUGAGCGGCCCCAUUCGGCCUGGGGUACCGGCAAGACGGCUACGGGGGGAAGCGGUGGGAAUCUUUGCACAAUAGGCCGAAGCCGGGUGCAGCAUCGCCGCGUCCGGAAUGACGGCUGUUAGAUUAUAAACCGCGUUCGCCUGUGACGAAGCGUGAGUGACGGUAAUGAGUAAAAAAGCACCGGCUAACUACGUG